GACGUAGGGCGCAAGCGUUGUCCGGAAUUAUUGGGCGUAAAGAGCUCGUAGGCGGCUUGUCGCGUCGGAUGUGAAAGCCCGGGGCUUAACUUCGGGUCUGCAUUCGAUACGGGCAGGCUAGAGUUCGGUAGGGGAGACUGGAAUUCCUGGUGUAGCGGUGAAAUGCGCAGAUAUCAGGAGGAACACCGGUGGCGAAGGCGGGUCUCUGGGCCGAUACUGACGCUGAGGAGCGAAAGCGUGGGGAGCAAACAGG
rnacentral:rRNA from 1 species